UACGUAGGAUCCAAGCGUUGUCCGGAAUUACUGGGUGUAAAGGGUGCGCAGGCGGACUUGUGCGUCAGAGGUUAAAUACCCCGGCUCAACCGGGGAAAUGCCUUUGAAACGGCAGGUCUUGAGUGCGAGAGAGGAUGGUAGAAUUCCUGGUGUAGCGGUGAAAUGCGUAGAUAUCAGGAGGAAUACCAGUGGCGAAGGCGGCCAUCUGGCUCGCAACUGACGCUCAGGCACGAAAGCGUGGGGAGCAAACAGG
rnacentral:rRNA from 1 species